UUGGCCUACGGGACGCAGCAGUGGGGAAUCUUCCGCAAUGGGCGCAAGCCUGACGGAGCAAUGCCGCGUGAACGAAGAAGGUCUUCGGAUUGUAAAGUUCUGUCCUUAUCGAAGAGAGGGUAUAGAGUGAAAAAUGAUAUACUAGGACGGUAGAUGAGGAGGAAGCCACGGCUAACUACGUGACAGCAGCCGCGGUAAUACGUAGGGGGCGAGCGUUGUCCGGAAUCACUGGGCGUAAAGGGCGCGUAGGCGGCAGUAUAAGUCAGAUGCGAAAGGUGGGGG
rnacentral:rRNA from 1 species